GUUCACUGCCGAGCUGGCAGCUUAGAAA
rnacentral:other from 1 species